CCCGCUUCUCAGGGCGGGGUGCAAUUCCCCACCGGCGGUGUCCCGUUUUUUGGCGGGGAGCCCGCGAGCGCUUCCGGGGGUCCGGAAGGUCAGCAGAUCCGGUGAGAAGCCGGAGCCGACGGUGACAGUCCGGAUGAAAGAGAAGACGG
rnacentral:ncRNA from 2 species